rnacentral:pre_miRNA from 1 species
UUAGCUCAUAUUUGUAUGGGAUGGGAUCGUUUGCCUACGUUUGCCGCUAGGGGCGCUGUUCCAACUGCAUACAAAAUUGGGCUA